AGCUUAAAUGACAUGCACUGUUUCAUUUCAACAGAAUCAUUCUGGCUACUAUAUGAACAAAAACUGUAGCAGGCAAGGAACCAAAGACAAGAAGCCAGUAUGGAGACAAAGAACAGGCCAAGUGAGGGAUGAUGACUCAUUCACUGGCUAACUGAGUAGUUCCUGGCCUUGCGGAUUUAUUGGCAACCAUUUCAUUUGUCUUUCUCUGGAUUUAACAUUAAGUAUACUAACAAGAAUGAAAAUAACUCAGCAGCAAUUUUAUAAAUUCACAUCCCCCAGAGCACCACAGAGUAAAGAAAUACUGCAUAUGGGUAGCAACUGGUUCUUAGUUACUAAAUCUGAAAGAUCAAAUAAAG